CAAUUUAAAAAAAUUUUAUACGGAAGAAAAAAGCAACGCUUUUGGCAUAUUAUGCUUUAUUAUUUCAAGAAAGGUAAAAACGCAACUAAAACACACAAAAAAAGAUUUGUGCAGUGCAUGGAGAAGGUGCUGUGACUG